rnacentral:rRNA from 1 species
UACGUAGGUGACAAGCGUUGUCCGGAUUUACUGGGCGUAAAGAGCGCGCAGGCGGUCGAUCAAGUCGAGUGUGAAAGCCCCCGGCUCAACUGGGGAGGGUCAUUCGAUACUGAUCGACUCGAAGGCAGGAGAGGGUAGUGGAAUUCCCGGUGUAGUGGUGAAAUGCGUAGAUAUCGGGAGGAAUACCAGUGGCGAAGGCGGCUUCUUGGCCUGUUCUUGACGCUGAGGCGCGAAAGCUGGGGGAGCAAACGGGG